rnacentral:tRNA from 1 species
GGGGCUGGCUGGGGUACUGGUGUCCCCCAAGGUCUUCAAAACCUCUCGGGAGGCGCGUGCCGUCUCCGGUGGGUUCGAUUCCCACACAGUCCCGCCA